AACAGGCUCACAGGAGAAAAUGCUGAAAGACUGUGUUUUUUGCAUUACAAUCUUCCUCUUCUAAAAUGGGAGUAUUAAGGAAAGUGUCAGAUCCAACAAAACACUGUUUACAUGCACAGUUCUUUAAAAUCUUUGUAGUGUAAGUAGCACACUGCAAAUAAGUUUGUUUUUCAUAAAUGUUUCAACUUUGCAACUGUUUACAUAUUUAUUCUUUAUAUUUGUGUGAUGCUUCACUUUUUCCAUGUUGCAUAAAUAUGAACAAAGGAUUUGUUAAGGCACUGAGGACAGUUGAUCCAAAGACUGAAGGUUAAUGUCCAUUUUAUUUUUAACUCUGGUAUUUUAUUUUGUGUAAUGUGUAUAUUUGUGUUUAUUUAUUUCUAAUGCCAAACUGCACUACAUUUUUAUUUAUAUUUUAGAAGUGUUCAUUUUAUUGUGUGAUAACAUUAAUCAUUGAUACUGAGCAAUUUGCACUGAAGCCACUUUUCAAUUUACAGUUUUACAGUUUGAUUUGUUUACAAAAUCUCACUCAGGUUACGUUUUGAUAUUGUAUUUUUCUGUGUGCAAUUUAAAGUUAAAUAAAUGUUAAGAGUUCUACUA